UACGUAGGGUGCAAGCGUUAAUCGGAAUUACUGGGCGUAAAGCGUGCGCAGGCGGCGAUGUAAGACAGAUGUGAAAUCCCCGGGCUCAACCUGGGAACUGCAUUUGUGACUGCAUCGCUGGAGUACGGCAGAGGGGGAUGGAAUUCCGCGUGUAGCAGUGAAAUGCGUAGAUAUGCGGAGGAACACCGAUGGCGAAGGCAAUCCCCUGGGCCUGUACUGACGCUCAUGCACGAAAGCGUGGGGAGCAAACAGG
rnacentral:rRNA from 1 species